ensembl:lncRNA
AUGUGUUCCCCGCUGGGGACGCCUGCUCAGAUAUGCAUCCUCACGGAACUGCUGAGCACAGGAGCUACACAAAACAAUGUUAAUUUUGUGAAUUUUAAGUGGUUUUGUGGAAGCGGCGGCCCGGCGGAGAGACAGCGGAGCUAUACGUUUUUCCGAGGCAGCUUCCCAGACGAGCCCGUUUGGAGCGUAAAUGUCAAAUCCUUUACAUUCUUUGAACUGCAGUCAAAGAGGGAAAGAAAGACCACAUUGGAUCCUCGGAGCCAAUCCGAGAGACACCGGCGGGUGAGGAUUAGCAUCAUAAUAGAUGGGAGCAAAAGUGGAACUUCUCGUCCUCCUGCACCUUUUUCCUGUCGCCCAUUCUUCCUCUUGUUAAUCUGCAUUUCAGACACGUGCACUGAAUUACCCUGAUAUGAAAGCUUAAAAGCGAAGCCUGACCCUGACAAAUGAGGCAAAGCUGCCCCCCCCCGCCCUUCCUCCAGUUUAUUUUGAUCACACACUGAUCCGGCCGGCACAGAUUUUGAUCCCUAAGCUUUUUUCGGACCGAUUCCUAUUUUAUUUUAUUUUUUUCUUGCUCGCCUGGGCCAGUGGUGCAAUGGAUAACACUAUGGAUCAGAAGAUUCUAGGUUCGGCUCCUGGCUGGCUAGCACUUUCGUGAAUUUCCCCGAUGUGGGAUCAAUAAAGUUUUAUCUUAUCUUACGUAAAGGUGAAUUUGUUCCCGUUUUGUGGCGAAGAGCGCACCGCUGCUGCAUUACCAUGUGGAUUUCCUGAGCCAGGGCCUUCGCAGUCCUGGAAUAAGAGCCGCCACAUGUUGUGGGGGUAGAGCUAGCGGGGGGAGGGGUGGGGGUGGGGGGGCUGUACCGCAAACCAGUUGGCAGGGCUGGACAAGAUGGGGGAAUCCCCCGCCGGUCGUGCCAGGGAGAGAACUUUGACGAGAAUCCACGUGACAGCGUUGACCGUCCCUGGGCUGAAAGGGAAUCCCUUCCUGUUUCCCCGGUGUUGUCAGCACGUUGCCACGGCGACCUGGUGUUUACCGCGCUGACUGCUUGGCCGCUGCACAGCAACAGACGCGUGACGCGCUCGUACGGUAAUGCCUAUUUAUAACCGCUAAAUGCAAGUCUGCUCGGAGGCCGGGUGGGAAGCCCAGCGACGGGCCGUGAUUAGCCGAGCAGCGGAACAACAGAAGUCCGAAUCGAGACAGAAACCCAUGCUUAAGUAACGUGGAAACAACAUCUGCAUGGCAACGGUAUCAUAACAGAGCUGAGGGGCGACCUUGUGACCUCACCCCGGCUGUCCUCUGCUUGUAGCGUAGCGUUAGCGAUCCGCUGAGGCUGCUCUUGCCCCCCCAACUCUCCGCCACUGCUGAUUCUUAUGAUUUGUGAACGUUAAGCAGGAUCCAUUUUGGGGAACAUAAAUGAAUCUCCUAAAAAAAGGAGGGAGGUAUUAUGCAUUCCUGCCUGUGAAAUAAUGAGCGAGAUUCCUGGUGGCGCUGGCAGGAGCGCCGGAUGCUAAAGCUCUGUAGAGCUCAAUUAGGACUCAUCUCUAUCAUUAACUCAACCUAUAAAGUAUUAAUGGUCUCGGGCCAUAUUUCAUGAUAAGACUCCCCAUAUUUGAAAAAUAUUCAUUAGGGCCUAAAUUAGGGAGCUCUCGUAGAUCAAGUUUUUUUUUUUUUUUUAAUUCUCCAAAAUAAAGAUUUAAUGAAGCGCGGCUCUUCGCUCUCUCCCAGCUCGUCUGUCUCCCAACAGCGUCUCUGUGUGUGUUUGGUGUGUUAUAGAGUCUCAUUUAUUAACGCGUGAUAAGAAACAGUUUCGCACUUUCAUCCUCUCCGCUCAGCCCGUCUUCUGCAGCGAUGCGCCGCCGCUCCGUCGGCCUCGUCGGCUCCACUCCUGCGCCGCCGCCGUAUCAUUUCCCCCGGAACACACCGCGACUCCACACUCGACAAAGCAGCCGUCACCUCUGGUUUUUAGCCACAAAUCUGGCUACGGCCUAAUUGACACACCCUGCUUCUCCCUCUUUUGCCCCCCACCCACACCAACAGAAAGGGCCCCUGAAUUUCAAACAGCUCCAUGAAUGAAAAUGAAAGCCAUGUAAAAAUUAAUAUUACAUUUCCACGACUUCCUGUGCUGUUUAAAAAGUAAUGAGACUGAAUAAAAAAGCACUCAACUUAAUAGCCC